CCCCUCAUUUGUUUAUUUUUUAAGCAGGCUUCACACCCAGCAUGGAGCCCAAUGCGGGGCUCAAUCACACGACCCUGAGACCAUGACCUGGGCCAAGAUCAAGAGUCAGAUACUUAACCGACUGAACCACCCAGGUGCCCUGAGAAUGCUUUUUUAAUACCUUCUCAAACAAAACGAACCAUUUCUUUGUUUAUUACAGCUCUAUUCACAAUUGUCAAGAUGUGGCAAUGUCCACUAAUUGUCCUAAAUGUCCAUUGACAGAUGACUGAAUAAAGAAAAUUUGGGGGGGUGCCUGGGUGGCUCAGUCAUUGGGCGUCUGCCUUCGGCGCGGGUCCUGGUCCCAAGGUCCUGGGAUCAAGCCCCACAUUGGGCUCCCUGCUCAGUGGGGAGCCUGCUUCUCCCUCUCCCACUUCCCCUGCUUGUGUUCCCUCUCUUGCUCUCUCUCUGUCAAACAAAUAAAAUUUAAAAAAAAAGGAAAUUUGGUAUAAAUACAAUGGUGUAUUGUUCAGCCUUAAAAAAGAAAAAUUCUUCAAUAUGUGAUAAUAUGGAUGAACUUUUUAUAAAUAAAAUAUAAAUUUGUUUUAAAGAUUUUAUUUUUAAGUAAUUUCUAUAUCCAACACAGAGCUUGAAUUUACAAUCCUGAGAUCAAGAGUAGCACACUUGGGGUGUCUGGGUGGCUCAGUCAUUAAGCAUCUGCCUUUGUCCUGGGAUCGAGCCCCGCAAUGGGCUCCUGCUCAGCGGAAAGCCUACUUCUCCCUCUCCCACUCCCCCUGCUGUGUUCCUGCUCUCGCUGUGUCUCUCUCUGUCAAAUAAAUAAAUAAAAUCUUUAAAAAAAAAAAAAAAGAGUUGCACACUCUACCGACUGAGCCAGCCAGGCACCCCAACAUGGAUGAACUUUAAGGACAUUGUGCUAAAUGAAAUAAACCAAUCACAGAAGUAUAAAUAUUGCAUGAUUCCACUUAUAUGAGUUAUCUGAAAUCAAAUGUAUGGAAUCAAAGAGUGGAAUGGCACUUGCCCCUGGCUGGAGGGAGAGGGAAAUGGGGAGUUACUAAUCAACAGGCAUAAUAUUUCAGUUAAGCAAAGUAAGUCCUAGAGGUUUUCUGUACAAUUUUGGAUCUAUAGUCAAUAAUAUUGUACUGUACUCUUAAAAAAUUUGUUAAGAGUGUAGAUCUCAUGUUAAGUGUUUUACCACAACAAAAUAAAAUAAUAAAAUCUUAAAUUAUUGCCAAAUAAAAAAGACCAGCUUCAGAAUCUGUGUUCCCAAAGUAUAGCGUUUACACCUUUGUCAUUUAUCAUAGUCUGACUUGUAUAGUGACGGGGUAAACAUGUCCUCACAAAUGCUUAGUACAUCUUCUUGAAAGCAUCUUGUUGAAUAAUGAAGGGAUAAAUCCUUGCAAUAACUAGAUUCUGUUAUCUGUGUAUGAAAGCAUUUUGUAGUAGGUACAGUCAGUGAUAAGAUUAUUAAGCCUGGUUUUUGAACCUAUUUACCUUAUGAGACAUAGAAGGACAUUAAUCUCAUUAUUUAUAAACCUGUCUUUAAAACAGCAUUACUCAGUCUGAUUACUCACUUUGUUUAUCAAAUUAGGUUCUAAAUGGCUUUGAUCUUUUUUCAAUCAUAUAUUCAUCUGGAAAGCAUGAAGAUUUGCCACCACCUAGGUUAUUAAAAUGAAUUGUGUCAUAUGACCCUGGACUUAAUUACAGUUCUGUUCCGUUCUGUUCAGUAAGCACUUAUUGAGUUAGCAGCUCUGUAGGUAGCUGCAGAUGGAGAUGAGUGAUACAUGGCUCCUGCCUUUGAGAAGCUCACAGGCUAAUAUGGAAAACAUAGAUAAACACACCAACACUAUACUCAUCAUGAUAAGGGCAAUAAUAAGGGAAAGAGGUAGGACCCCCCCCCCCAAAAUGAUUAAUUCUCUCUUAGGUUGCUAGUGAUGUGAUGAUAAGGAAAAAGUUUUCAGAGAAUGCAUCCCUCAAGCUAGGGUCUUGAGGAAUUGGAACUUUUUCAAUGGUUGGGUGAAGGUUUCAGGGAGGAGGACACUUGUCUCAAGGGAAGUGGUUUAGAGGAAACCGUUGGAGGGGAAUGAAUAGCAAUGAGUCGAGAGCUUGGCCAUGAAGGUCUCAUUUUUCAUGUUUGGACUUGAUUCUGUGAGUCCUAAAGGAUUCCAAGUGAAGAAUUAUAAAAUUAUUUGGAGUAAUGACAGCAGGAUUGAGUUAAGUGUGUGCCUGCUAAGGGUACUACUUUGGAGGGCCCACACUCAUUCAAGUAUUUAAGUUUUGGUAUAUUUAUUUUGAAAAAUCAGGCUACAGCACUUUAGAUCUUAUUUCAUAAAUGUAUGUUUUUAAAAAGGGUAAUUUCUUACCCUAAGGCUUUCAUUUAUUUUACAAAUAUUUGUUGAGCUCUUACCAUGUAUCAGACACUCUUCUGUGUACUUGGGAAACAUCAGUGAGCAAAAUAGACAAAGAUGCCUGUCCUCAUGCAUUGUGUAUUCUAGUUUUCUUAAUCCAUAGUCGGUGUUGAGGAUUUGGGUGAACACACUAUGCAGAUAUUUGGGUGGGAAGGGGACAGUGAAGUUAAAGCACAGUAAGUAACUGCUCUUCCCCUCUUCCCUAAGGAACUCCUUCCUGAGAGGUAUGCUUUUAGGAGGGUGUUGAGGUGAAAAAAGUGUGGCAAGCCAGGAGGUCAGGGGCUACAAUAGGCAUUUGCUUUUUCUCCUAACCACCUCAUCAGUGAUUUAAAAAAAAAAAAAGUCCUUGUUGUUGUUAGAACAGUUUGAGAUGUGCAGAAUAAUUGAGAAGAUAGUAUAGAGAAUUCUCAUGUAACCUUACCCAGUUUCCCCUAUUUUAACACCUUACGUUAUUAGUAUGGUGCCUUUGUUACAAUUAAUGAACCAAUGUCGAUACUAUUAUUAUUCACUUAAGUUCUUACUUUAUUCAGAUCUCAUUAGUUUUUACCUAAUGUCUUUUUUCCUGUUCCAGGAUUCCACCCAGAAUGCCUCAUUAAAUUUAGGGGGUGCCUGGGUGGCUCAGUUGGUUAAGCAUCUGCCUUCGGCUCAGGUCAUGAUCUCAGGGGUCCUGGGAUCGAGCCCUGCAUCAAGGCUCCCUGCUCAGUGGGGAGUCUGCUUGUCCCUCUCCCUCUGCUGCUCCCCCUGCUUGUGCUCUCUCUCAAGUAAAUAAAUAAAAUCUUAAAAGAAAAAAAAAAAGAAUGCCUCAUUAAAUUUAGUAGCCAUCUCUUAGGCUCCCCUUGGCUGGAGAGUUUUUCAGCUUUCCUAGUUUUAGAGAGUUUUGAGGAGUACUAGUGAGGCAUUUUGUAGAAUGUCCUUCCAUUGGGAUUUACUUUAUGUUUUUCUCAUGAUGAGAUUGGGGUAUAGUUUUUUGGAAGGUAGACCACAGAUGUGCAGUACCAUUCUUAUGACAUCAUAUUGAGGGUCCAUGCUGCCAUCAUGACUUACCACUGUUGGUGUUGACCUUGGUCACUUUGCUGAGCUAGUGUCUGUCAGUUUCUUCACAGAGAAGUUACUUCUGCUCCUCCAUUUCCACGCUGUCCUCUGGAAAGGAAGUCACUGUGAGCAGCCCACACUUAAGGAGUAGGGAGUUAUGCUUCACCUCCGUUAGGACGGAAUAGCUACAUAAAUUCCUUGGACUUCUGCACAAGAAAUUUGUCUCUUCUCCCCCACUUAUUUAUUUAUCAUCAGUGAUUUUUUUUUUUUACAAUUACCAUGAAUCACAUACUCCGUAAACAGAUACUGAAUGCCUACUAUAUGCAAGGCAUUAACAACACAUUUUUAAAAAGAUUUAUUUAAGAGAGAGAGUGCAUGGGCAUGUGCGUGCACAAGUGGGGGAGGGGCAGAAAGAGAGGGAGAAGGACAGAAUCUCAAGGACUCCCUGCUGAGCACAUAGCCCCAUAAGGGGAUCGAUCCCAUCAUCCUGAGAUCACUACCAUGACCAUGAUCAUGAUCUUGAUCAAAAUCAGGAGUCAGUUGCUUAACUGACUGGACCACCCAGGUGCCCUCUAAUAACACAUUUUUACUGAACAAUAUUUAUUUUGGUUUUCUCAGAAACAACUACCUAGAAAUGGAGAAAUCUGAUUUCCUGCUUUGCCUCUGACAUUACCUUCCUAGGAGGUUUCGUGCAAGUAAUUUCACACCCAAGCCUCAGUGUCUUCUUUUGGAAAAUUAGAUGGUUGAAAGGGGUUAAUUCGAACAUUUUUUUUCCAGGUUUAAAAUUGUAGGAUUAUAUAAUAUAUUCAAAGAAACAGGCUUCAAGUUGUCUGCAGAAGGGAAUUAUUAAUAUCUGCCGUGGGCUGGCCCACCUCAAAUGAAAUCUGUGUGUAAAAUCUUCCUUGUCUCUUGCCUCAGGGAAUGUAUCUUUUGUCUGGUAUAUUUUCUUAUGACUCAGAGUUAAAAUAUAUAUACACAAUGAAAAUAUCAAAUGGAUGAAGUUAACCUUGUUAGUAGUAUGUUUUAUGACCAAAAAAAGCCAGACUAUUAGCAAAUGACUGAUUUAUGGGCUUAAUAGAAACCACCGCCUAUGGAAAAAGUAACAUGGAAUAAAAACAAAGCAAAGGAGUUUGGAAUUUAUUCUAAUCCCAGAUUGAGGUGGUAGAGUCAAGGAAAGGCUCUUGUGGACUCUUCCUCACUGUUAUCUCUGUUGGGAAUAAGAUAAACAAGAAAAAGUGAGAAAAGCUGAUGAAACCUGAGGAUGAGAAGCACUGUUUAGGUUUGAGAGAAGAAUAUAAACAUUCAUUACUUGCUUCUUAGAAUGUUCCUCUUUGGCCGAAAGGAAGGAGGCUCUAGGGGGAGGUCUCAGGAUAGAGUGCCAGUUGGCUCUUGGCUUCAUUUUAGGAAAAAGGGGAAGUCACUUUUUUCUACUCCUGCCCUUUGCAAACUUAAUCAGGCUUUCUUGGGCAGCUGGAGCCUUUCUUUUCACUGAUGAAUGUCUUUUAAUGCUUUUCUUGCCAAUGCUAUUAUGAAUGUUCUUUCCAGUGUUUUCUGGGAAGAUUUAUUCUUGUAAAUUCAAUAGUUGUCAAGGUAAAUUGUAGUCUAAUGUAAUUUAAAGACCCAAAGACCCCAGGCCUGGCCUUGCCCCAUGCUCCCUUCCUAUUGCCAGUUUUACUUCUUUGGGCAUGUCUGGUACCAUCCCCAAGCUACAGUUCCUCCUGCUGGACACAAGGAACACUUUACCUGCCUAUUCCCGAAUGACAGAGAUGGCCUCUGGAGGUCUCUUCCAAGUCUGUGUUUCCUGGAGCGGCAGAUCCAAAGCUCUUAAGGUCAGUGCUGAGGUGAGUCAACCAGUGUCAAGUUUUCAGAGCAUCUAGGACAUGCAAAGUGCUAUACUAAGCAUUAUUGAGGAGAGGUAAGUCAACUAGAGUCCCCAGGAACUUAACAGUUUUUUAUGGGAAACACAUUUAGAACAAGUCUAAUCCAAAGCAGCCUAGAUGAAGGCUGCAGCGGGAGGAUUCUGCCCUCUCCCCUGCAGACUCAGCGGCUCUACUAUGCUGGAAGCAGGGAGCGAUAGAGGUGGGGAAGGGAGAGGAGGAGAUACUGCAAGGAGCGCUGAGUGAUGCAUAUUUUUCCGUUUGGCAAUAGUUGUGGGGACACAGAAAGGUGACUCCAACCCCUUAACACCAGCAUAGGCCUUUUUCAGCUUUGUUUUUCUGUCCCGUGGCCUCCAGGCUCAAAAGCAGCAGCUGCAGGAGGAAGACUGAAGAGAAGGGGCUGAGGAAGUCCCUGGCAUGUCUCUCUGUGUCAGGAGCAUGUCAGUGUCUCUCAGCCAGAGUCGGCAAAUGGGUGGUGCCCCACUAUGGGCCUGUGAAGAAGAGGCCUUCUGUGCUGAUGAGGAGUAAAUUGGCCCAUGACUGCGUGGGAGGGGUGGGUGUGAAUGAGACAGGCUGUCAGCUAAGGGCUCUGAGGCAGGGCACCUGGUCUCUCUAGGUAGACGGGGUGAGGGGAAGGGGCAGGCAUCAGGCACAGGGCUAGGUGAUUUUCCUGACGACUAAUUUAUUUAUUCUGCAUGAGAUUGGUGUUAAUAUUCCCAUUGUACUGAUGUAAAAACAGGAGGUUUCUGAGGCCUUAAAUAAUUUACCUUAGUUCCCAGAGUUAAGGACAAAGCCAGGAUUAAAAACGGGACCUGUGUAAAUCCAUAACCCACACUUUUUCUGUUGCCCACAGUGCCUUCUGUGAUGACCUAUUCUGUAUUAUUCGAGUGAUGCCUGAACAGCCCUCUCAAUCCUGGAACGGGAAGGCCAAUGGGGGAGUUUCUUCCAUCUAUCUACCUGAUGUGCAGUAGCAGUUCCAUUAUGGGACAUUCAUUUUUUUAAGGAAGUCCAGGAAGUCAAAGGAAGUGUUUACUGUUUGAAUGGAAAAACAGGGAGGUAUCUUCAAUGACAGCCAAAAUGAGAAGCAAUUAUAGAAGUCCUGUGCUCAUGAAAUAAAAACAUUUCACAACUGCCUUGUUUCUCUUCCACACUGAGAAAUUAAGUUUGAAAACUGACGUAAAUAUUGGUAAUGCUGCUUUGAUGAACCUGAAUUCCUCACAGUGAGGUUAAUGAGGCAAUGAUGAAAAAUAAACAUUAUCUAAGCUGCCAGCAAAGGGAGGGUGAGAGGAUUCCUUCGGCUCGCAAUGGUCACAUGUUUGUAAACUCGGACUGCUCAUGGAAGAGAUGGUGUAUUUGGUCCAGAGUGAGAACUUCCAAAAGAAACGAGGAAGUGAUCCAGAUGACACGACAUGCAUGCAGUCCUAUACCUUACCCUUUGCCCAGCUGCACUGGUCUACUAGCUGGUCCUUACAUAGUCUCCUCUGAAGAGUCUCCAAAUAUGCUAUUCCUACUGGUCAGGAUGCCCUCUUACCCAUUCACAAGUUCUGCCUGGUCCCUGAGGCCUUCCCUGGAGAAUGCAUCUUUGUGGAUAAUUUCACUCACUGCCCAGUCAGAUUAAGACCUUCCACUGCACAUAAUGACAUUUUCCCUGGACUGUUGCUUCUGUGAACAACAUUGUGACAGCUUAUAUUUAAAAGGCUCCUGCAGCUGGGCAAUGUAACCUGCUCUGUGUCAGCCAAGUAGACGGUGCUGCCCUGGGUGGAGCUUCGCAACCAGUGUGCUGUCCCACCGCAGUAGACCUGGCCUAGGUCAUAGGACGUUGAGGGUGAGUGUGAACCAGUUGGGCCCUUUGUUGGACACAGAUAUUCCUGGAAAGGUCACAAAGUAUAAAAUUUAGAGCUUGAAGGGGCUUUGAAGAUGCUUCAUCAUACCACGAGAAAGCUGAAGUGAAAUGACUUGAAAGCUCAUGAAGUUACCUAAUGGAAGAAUCUCAGAACUGUGCUCUUCCAAUGUUUCCCAUCAUUAAAAAGAAAAGGAAUUCACUGGAAUUCCAUCAGAUCAGCUGCUUGUGCGGAGUAAAUAGAAGAGGCUCAGAAGCAGACGUUGAAUUCCUGCUGAAACUGGUUAGAGAUUGAGACCAAGAGAUUGUAUAAAACAACAAAAGCGGCCAAUGGAAAGACCACGCAAAUAUUGAGUCAAUGAUUAAAAGGAGCCUUAGGAAGAAGCCUGUGAAUAUUCUUAAUUAUUAUCAGGUCUCUAGGACUUUGUGUACUUUCACUGAACUUGACAAUGAACAAGAAGCUGAUUGCUUGCGAUACAGAGCUCUCUUGACAAAGCUAAGUUGAUUUCCCCCCCUCUUUUAAUAAAACAGUUUUUUUCAUGUUUGGAACCAUAACACUUCUCUAACACCCUGUUUGAU